rnacentral:rRNA from 1 species
UCGAGCGGAACGAUGAUAGCUUGCUAUCAGGCGUCGAGCGGCGGACGGGUGAGUAAUACUUAGGAAUCUACCUAGUAGUGGGGGAUAGCUCGGGGAAACUCGAAUUAAUACCGCAUACGUCCUACGGGAGAAAGCAGGGGAUCAUUAGACCUUGCGCUAUUAGAUGAGCCUAAGUCGGAUUAGCUAGAUGGUGGGGUAAAGGCCUACCAUGGCGACGAUCUGUAGCUGGUCUGAGAGGAUGAUCAGCCACACCGGGACUGAGACACGGCCCGGACUCCUACGGGAGGCAGCAGUGGGGAAUAUUGGACAAUGGGGGGAACCCUGAUCCAGCCAUGCCGCGUGUGUGAAGAAGGCCUUUUGGUUGUAAAGCACUUUAAGCAGUGAAGAAGACUCUUCGGUUAAUACCCGGGGACGAUGACAUUAGCUGCAGAAUAAGCACCGGCUAACUCUGUGCCAGCAGCCGCGGUAAUACAGAGGGUGCAAGCGUUAAUCGGAAUUACUGGGCGUAAAGCGAGCGUAGGUGGCUUGAUAAGUCAGAUGUGAAAUCCCCGGGCUUAACCUGGGAACUGCAUCUGAAACUGUUAGGCUAGAGUAGGUGAGAGGGAAGUAGAAUUUCANGUGUAGCGGUGAAAUGCGUAGAGAUCUGAAGGAAUACCGAUGGCGAA